rnacentral:rRNA from 1 species
UACGUAGGGCGCAAGCGUUGUCCGGAAUUAUUGGGCGUAAAGAGCUCGUAGGCGGCUUGUCACGUCGGAUGUGAAAGCCCGGGGCUUAACCCCGGGUCUGCAUUCGAUACGGGCUAGCUAGAGUGUGGUAGGGGAGAUCGGAAUUCCUGGUGUAGCGGUGAAAUGCGCAGAUAUCAGGAGGAACGCCGGUGGCGAAAGCGGAUCUCUGGGCCAUUACUGACGCUGAGGAGCGAAAGCGUGGGGAGCAAACAGG